AUGGCGGCAUGCCCCAGGAAACUCGAGAAGCUGAUCUUGAUGGAUUUUCAAGGCUGUGGAGGGAGAUGUGGUGAUGGUGAACCCAGUGGCCUUUAUGGCUGCGGUGGGGAUAGUGAGAAUCGCUGCUGCUUGGUUGGCACAACCCCGUUCUGGGUGGGUGACCAGCCUUGGGGGCAGCUGCGGGUGUGGGAUCUGAGACGGGUCCCUGCAGCCAUGUUUGGUCACAUCUUCCCGGUGGCUCUCUCCUCAUGUAGUAGGACAGAUGUUCUUGUCCUGACUCCUUGGCUGGCUCCCAUCGUCUGGGAGGGGACCUUGACAUUGACAUACUGAGCGAGCAGUUCAGGCUUCGAACACCACGAUCGGACUGACUGUGUUUGCCGUCAAAAAGUAUGUGGUGUUCCUGAAACUCUUCCUGGAGACGGCAGAGCAGCACUUCAUGGUGGGACACAAGGUCAUCUACUAUGUGUUCACUGACCGGCCAGCUGAUGUCCCACAGGUUGCCCUGGGCGCAGGACGGCGGCUGGUGGUGCUAACUGUGCGCAACUACACCCGCUGGCAGGACGUGUCCAUGCACAGGAUGGAGGUGAUCAGCCACUUCUCAGAGCAGCGCUUUCAGCAUGAGGUGGACUACCUCGUGUGUGCAGAUGUGGACAUGAAGUUCAGGGACCACGUGGGUGUGGAGAUCCUCUCAGCGCUCUUUGGCACCCUGCAUCCUGGCUUCUACCGUGGCCACGAGAGUCCUUUACCUAUGCGCGGCCACAGUCCCAGGCCUACAUCCCCUGGGACCAGGGUGACUUUUACUAUAUGGGAGCCUUCUUUGGGGGGUCAGUGCUGGAGGUGCACCAUCUCACCAAGGCCUGCCACCAGGCUAUGCUGGAGGACCAGGCCAAUGGCAUUGAGGCCGUGUGGCAUGACGAGAGCCAUCUGAACAAGUACCUGCUAUACCAUAAGCCGACAAAGGUGCUGUCCCCAGAGUACAUGUGGGACCAGCAGCUGCUGGGCUGGCCCUCCAUCAUGAAGAAGCUGAGAUGUGUGGCUGUGCCCAAGAACCAUCAGGCGAUCAGGAACCGAUAGGUGAAUCCCUAUUGGAGAGGACAGGCCAUAGCCAGGGGCACUCCAGCCUGUGCUGGAACUGAAAAGAUUUGAGAGACAAUUGUCACCCUCUAUCCCACCUCAGAGUCCAGCAGGCCCAGUGUCACUUGGCUUACCACCCACUUGAGUCCUGGAGUGGCAACCAUCUUCAGCUCCACUAUGUGCCCCUGAGCUCCUUGCAUUGAGUGGCAUGGUGUGUGGAAUCUUCAGAACAUGGAGAGACUCUGUUACAUAGUUAACUGAGGGCUGGUGCAUCCUCCCUCGGGCUUGGUGCUUUCUCUUCAGGGAGGCUUGACAGAGGACCCGUGCCCAUAGGAACAGGCAGGAGCGCAGGGAGAGUCAGCCUGCAGUCGACAGAGGUGCGUAGCUCCCGUUCAGCUCAUUCGGGGCAGAUCACCCCUAAUUUUUGGUUUAUUUGGGAAUAGGUAUCUAUCCAUUCCUGGGAAUAAAUGCAUUUCUAGGCGAUAUAGGAA